rnacentral:rRNA from 1 species
GACGAACGCUGGCGGCGUGCUUAACACAUGCAAGUCGAACGGAAAGGCCUCUUUCGGGGGGUACUCGAGUGGAGAACGGGUGAGUAACACGUGAGUAACCUGCCCUUGACUUUGGGAUAACUUCAGGAAACUGGGGCUAAUACCGGAUAGGAGCUCCUGCUGCAUGGUGGGGGUUGGAAAGUUUCGGCGGUUGGGGAUGGACUCGCGGCUUAUCAGCUUGUUGGUGGGGUAGUGGCUUACCAAGGCUUUGACGGGUAGCCGGCCUGAGAGGGUGACCGGCCACAUUGGGACUGAGAUACGGCCCAGACUCCUACGGGAGGCAGCAGUGGGGAAUAUUGCACAAUGGGUGGAAGCCUGAUGCAGCAACGCCGUGUGCGGGAUGACGGCCUUCGGGUUGUAAACCGCUUUCGCUCAUGACGAAGCUUUGUGUGACGGUAGUGGGUAAAGAAGCACCGGCUAACUACGUG